CAGUCGCCGCGGUAAAACGAAGGGGGCUAGCGUUGUUCGGAUUUACUGGGCGUAAAGCGCACGUAGGCGGACUUUUAAGUCAGGGGUGAAAUCCCGGGGCUCAACCCCGGAACUGCCUUUGAUACUGGAAGUCUUGAGUAUGGUAGAGGUGAGUGGAAUUCCGAGUGUAGAGGUGAAAUUCGUAGAUAUUCGGAGGAACACCAGUGGCGAAGGCGGCUCACUGGACCAUUACUGACGCUGAGGUGCGAAAGCGUGGGGAGCGAACAGGAUUAGAUACCCCAGUAGUCCCUGUCUCUUAUAA
rnacentral:rRNA from 1 species